rnacentral:piRNA from 1 species
UGACGGUCAGAGUUCUUAUGCAGUGU